UCCACAUGUAAAGAGGCACCUCCUUCAAGUGCCGCUCCUCGGCCAAGGAAGAAUAGAAGAAAGCAAAAUGAGCCACAACCACCCACUCUCUCCUAACCAUCAACACAGCCUCCAUCUCUCUCUCAACCAUCACUACAGCCUCAAUCUGUCUCCCAACAACCUAAGCCUCGGACAAGAAGUGUGUACAAAUCAAGAGUGGUCAUUAGAAUGGGUCUGAGGAUUGAUGAAAAUACAGGGAGAACAAUCUUCAAUCUUGGAAUGAGUUCAGAAAUUGUGCUUCAAGAGGGAACUGCAUAAGAAUAUCUACAACAUUAUGCUGACCCCCAAACCA